rnacentral:rRNA from 1 species
AUGAACGCUGGCGGCGUGCCUAAUACAUGCAAGUCGAGCGAACGGACGAGAAGCUUGCUUCUCUGAUGUUAGCGGCGGACGGGUGAGUAACACGUGGAUACCCUACCUAUAAGCCUGGGAUAACUUCGGGAAACCGGAGCUAAUACCGGAUAAUAUUUUGAACCGCCUGGUUCAAAAGUGAAAGACGGUCUUGCUGUCACUUAUAGCUGGAUCCGCGCUGCAUUAGCUAGUUGGUAAGGUAACGGCUUACCAAGGCAACGAUGCAUAGCCGACCUGAGAGGGUGAGCGGCCACACUGGAACUGAGACACGGUCCAGACUCCUACGGGAGGAAGCAGUAGGGAAUCUUCCGCAAUGGGCGAAAGCCUGACGGAGCAACGCCGCGUGAGUGAUGAAGGUCUUCGGAUCGUAAAACUCUGUUAUUAGGGAAGAACAUAUGUGUAAGUAACUGUGCACAUCUUGACGGUACCUAAUCAGAAAGCCACGGCUAACUACGUG